AUGAAACACUCCUACGGGAGGCAGCAGUAAGGAAUAUUGGUCAAUGGAGGCAACUCUGAACCAGCCAUGCCGCGUGCAGGAAGACAGCCCUCUGGGUCGUAAACUGCUUUUAUUCGGGAAUAAACCAUAUUACGUGUAGUGUGCUGAAUGUACCGAAGGAAUAAGGAUCGGCUAACUCCGUGCCAGCAGCCGCGGUAAUACGGAGGAUCCAAGCGUUAUCCGGAUUUAUUGGGUUUAAAGGGUGCGUAGGCGGCUUAUUAAGUCAGGGGUGAAAGACGGUGGCUCAACCAUCGCAGUGCCCUUGAUACUGAUGAGCUUGAAUGAACUAGAGGUAGGCGGAAUGUGACAAGUAGCGGUGAAAUGCAUAGAUAUGUCACAGAACACCGAUUGCGAAGGCAGCUUACUAUGGUUUUAUUGACGCUGAGGCACGAAAGCGUGGGGAUCAAACAGGAUUAGAAACCCUAGUAGUCCGAAGUUC
rnacentral:rRNA from 1 species